rnacentral:rRNA from 1 species
ACGGGUGAGUAGCGCGUGGGAAUCUACCCAUCCCUACGGAAUAACGCAUGGAAACGUGUGCUAAUACCGUAUACGCCCUACGGGGGAAAGAUUUAUCGGGGAUGGAUGAGCCCGCGUUGGAUUAGCUAGUUGGUGGGGUAAAGGCCUACCAAGGCGACGAUCCAUAGCUGGUCUGAGAGGAUGAUCAGCCACAUUGGGACUGAGACACGGCCCAAACUCCUACGGGAGGCAGCAGUGGGGAAUAUUGGACAAUGGGCGCAAGCCUGAUCCAGCCAUGCCGCGUGAGUGAUGAAGGUCUUAGGAUUGUAAAGCUCUUUCAACGGUGAAGAUAAUGACGGUAACCGUAGAAGAAGCCCCGGCUAACUUCGUGCCAGCAGCCGCGGUAAUACGAAGGGGGCUAGCGUUGUUCGGAAUUACUGGGCGUAAAGCGCACGUAGGCGGGUAUUUAAGUCAGGGGUGAAAUCCCGCAGCUCAACUGCGGAACUGCCUUUGAUACUGGGUAUCUUGAGUAUGGAAGAGGUAAGUGGAAUUGCGAGUGUAGAGGUGAAAUUCGUAGA